UGGGGAAUAUUGCACAAUGGGCGAAAGCCUGAUGCAGCGACGCCGCGUGCGGGAUGAAGGCCUUCGGGUUGUAAACCGCUUUUGAUUGGGAGCAAGCGAGAGUGAGUGUACCUUUCGAAUAAGCACCGGCUAACUACGUGCCAGCAGCCGCGGUAAUACGUAGGUGGCAAGCGUUGUCCGGAAUUAUUGGGCGUAAAGGGCGCGCAGGCGGCCUGUCAAGUCUGUCUUAAAAGUGCGGGGCUCAACCCCGUGAUGGGACGGAAACUGGCAGGCUAGAGUGUCGGAGAGGAAAGCAGAAUUCCUAGUGUAGCGGUGAAAUGCGUAGAUAUUAGGAGGAACACCAGUGGCGAAAGCGGCUUUCUGGACGACAACUGACGCUGAGGCGCGAAAGCCAGGGGAGCAAACGGGAUUAGAUACCCCGGUAGUCCUGGCCGUAAACGAUGGGUACUAGGUGUAGGAGGUAUCGACCCCUUCUGUGCCGGAGUUAACGCAAUAAGUAUCCCACCUGGGGAGUACGACCGCAAGGUUG
rnacentral:rRNA from 1 species